rnacentral:SRP_RNA from 10 species
GCCAGGCCCAGUGGCUCGUGCCUGUAAUCCCAGCUACUUGAGAGGCUGAGGCAGGAGGGCAGCUUGAACCCAGGAAGUUCAAGUGAGGUUGCAGUGAGCCGAGAUGGCGCCACUGCACUCCAGCCUGGGUAAUAGAGUGAGACUCCAUCUCAAAAAAAAAAAAAAAAAAAAAAUAGAGACAGGAUCUCCCUCUGUUGACCAGGCCGGACUGCAGUGGCGCCAUUUCGGCUCACUGCAAUCUCCGCCUCCCGGGUUCAAAUGAUUCUCCUGCCUCA